ACUCCAGUGGCCUAGUGGUCGGAGCGUCCACCUCAGAUGCGGGAGGUCGUGAGUUCGAACCCCGGCCGGAAAUA